CAGCGGGACUGGCGACAGCGGGACUAGCGGGACAGGGACAGCGGGACGGGAUUUGGGAACAGCAGCGAUGCAGGGAAACCGCCCCAGGAGCGAGGGAACGGGCAGGGAGCGAGGCAGGAUGGACAGGAGAACAGCAGCUGCAGCCCGGGACGCAGCCGGCCUGGCAUCCCCUGGGCUCUGCGGCAGCGGACGGACCCGUUUGCACCCCCUUCACUGCUCCAUACCUCAGUCCGACACCCCAAAUAAAACACUAGUCACACUGCAAUAUUUUUUCUUAGAAAAAGCCUGGUCUGAACAGUUCCAGGCUAGAGGGGAAAAGUCUAGUGUAGAAGAGUUAAGCGGUAAUUAAGGCAAAGCAGAACAAGCGGAGCUCCCCGUGCUCCGUUGCGCUCAAGCGAGCAGGCAGAGCCAUGGGAAGGAUCCCCUCAUGGCUGGGCUUGGCUGCGGACUGGCACUGCCCACCCCCGCUUUAACGAGACAGAGCAGGAGUGUUUUGGACUGUCUUUGAAGCCCACAGCUGUGAGCUGCCAGAGGGGAGACCAGGAAUGGUUCUGGUUUCUGCACUAUGCCUCAGACCAGGCAUGAUGGGUCCAGCUCUUGCGGAGGAAGGAGCUCUGGCUGAGUCAGGCUCAGGUACUCACUGCCUCUGCCAGCAGUCCUUUCCUGCUGUAAAUGAUCCAUCCAACAUGGUUCUCUCCUACCUCAAUCAGCCACCAAAAAGAAAAGAAAUCCUCUCCAAGCAGUGACCAAAUGGUUCAUUUGUUCCUCCACAAGACAUACAACUACUCCUUAACUAUCAAAUCUAUUACACAGCAAAUGCCAAAACCAGGUUCAGAGAAACUUUGUGAGGGUGAACUCUGCUCUGUUCAAAUUCUUACUGUUUCUGCAUGAGUUUGUGGGCCAGAUAAAUUACUACUCCAUCCCUGAAUCCCUUCUGGAAAAAUGUUACAGCAGGGAUUACUGUAACAAGCAUAUAUCAAACCAGGAGUUCUGUGGAAAGGAAGUAUAUGUGGACAGA